UUUAGCCAUUCUGACCGGUGUGAGCUGGCAUCUCCUUGUGGUUUUGCUCUGUACUUCCCUGAUGCCGAGUGAUGCAACUCUGACUUAAUGAGAUGCCCCACAGAGCCCAUGGUGUCCCAUCACCCUCGGGGCAGCAAGUUCAUGAUCCCGAAUUUGUUAUGGCUGCAGGUGUGUUCCUGGUGGGCUUUACCAAAGGGCAAACAUUGGCAAACAUGGGAUUCUUCGCCUCACGGUGAUGCACUGGUAAAUGUUUCACAACUAGAUCUCUGGAAAGAAAGGAAAAGGAGAAAGCCCUGAAGUGUAGCACUUGCCAAUGUGUGUGGUGUCGGUACGCCCACUCGGAUCCAUUUCAAGCUACCGCUGUGGCUUCACCAAACACGGGGGUGGGAAGAGCCGCGCACAGUCCGCGUUUGGGAAGCCCGGGUAAGUGGGUACCAGCCCACCACAGCCACCUCCUCACCCGCCUUCCUCAAGUAGGGACUGUUUUUAGCUUUCAUUGAGUUCUCCAGAAUUUGUUUCUCCAUGGAGUAGCCUAUGUUCUUUUCUCGCCCUGAAUUGGUGCGAAGCAUCUGGCACCUCGCUGAUGUAUAAGCAAGUUCUGAGGAAUGUUAUGACUGAACUAGAAGCUCAUGGAUAGAGAAUUUGCAUAUAACAAUUGGCAAAGAGCAAGGAAGCCGAGCUGUGGAGCCUGGUAAUUAUGCACCGGGCUAACUGCCGCUGGGGGUUGCCUCACUGAUGGUGGGUGGCUUCGUGGCAAAGGCAGAGGCCAAAUGCUUUUGUCCUGGAACAAAGAAACACCCCCACUUAGAUAUCAACACCAGCUCAUCUUGCUCUGCCCUGGGCUUAAUCUACAAAUCCUGCCUCAAGACCUGCCUUUUUUAUCCUACAAAGAAAAUUACCUUGGUGGAAUACCCACGAAGUAAUUAUAGAUAAUGGCCCACGUCGUGGCAGCUACAAGUUCAGCCACUUGGCUGAGGAAUGAACUCCCUAUCUGCGGCUGCAAGAGCUCAUUAUGUGCCGUACUGGUGAAUUGGUAAUGAAAAGACUUAAAAAGUGUCUGAUGGCAAAGCAGCUCGUUCCUUAGCCUGACCGGCCUACAGAGUAGGCCCUAGGGAAUAGACGACUGAAGGCAAUGCAAAUUUCAAACAAGAUUACCAGAGGCUUCUUAUCAUCCUCUUGGAACUCUGAGAAUGCAGGAACUGUAAAAAGCCAACGGACAAAGAUGGAAAUACCGUCAUCAAAAGAAAAAAAGCGCACUUUUCAGUUUGAUCAAGAAAAAGAAAGCAGUUUAAGGAGACAAGGCUCAGAGAGAUGUUCAACUCCAGAGGAGCCUCCAGGGUUUCCCUUUCUCACCACCAGCCACUUGACCCCAGAGAGAAAUGCCCUUCUGACCCCUGCUGGCUAUGAUGGCACAUGCACCAGACGGAGAGGACCGUUUCAGAGCUGAUGUCAGAACCCACUCCUCACGCUCUCCGACGCUGAUUGGACAAGAAGGUUAAACAGAGGAAAGUUGACUCAGUUCUGAUUAAACAGUCUGGGAAGACAGAAACAAAUAAUCACCCUGUAUGUAGCAAUAAUGGAGCAACAAAGUAAAUAUUAAGGGAGCCGCUUGCUAUCAAUAUUUAACUAGCAGAUUAAUGUACAGAGGAUGCGCUUGGGAGAAUAUGAGGGUGACCAGAGAGGCAGAAAUGGCUCAAUUAUGAUACAUUGUCAUAGUCAGGGAAGAGGAAAGGCUUGUCUGUGUUGUUGAACCUGAGGUUGUGAAAGCACAACAGAGGCAAUCAAGGGCGAUUAAGCAAGGAGAUGAUGAUGAGUGAUAAUGCCAGGCUCAUUAGCAUAAACAAUCUGUUGAAGGGAAUAGGGAACGAGUUGUAAAUUCUGUAAGUUCUUGCCUAAAACUCCUAAACAUCUGUGCUCCAUCAUCAAAAAUUCUCUUGGCAUCUUUUGGUCCUUUAUCUGCUCAACCAGACAAAAAGAUCUGAAGGACCACUUCAUUUUGAGGCAAUGUUUCCAACCAUGACGUGCCCUGAUGUUUCUGCCUUUUGUUCAUGCAACUAAAUAUAUCUUUUAGUCUAUUCCAUCUAACCAUUUCUCAGAAUGGCAAUGUUAUCAAAGUAUUGGACACACAAAAUUUUUCCAUGGCUAUAUAAGUGUGGAAAAUUCUGAAUUAAAGAUUAAAGUGUACAUUAAAUAUCAAAGCAGCUGUGAUUGGUUCUUCAGGAAGGAUGUAGUUGGUGUAGUGUUUCUCAAAAAUGUUAGUCCACAGAAUCGUUUUUACAGAAGUAUCUCAAAUAACCAAGUUUCCUUUGGAGACUUUUGGUGAGGAGCCUUUCUCUCCUCCUUGUCUCCUUCAAUCAGCCCACUAAUUUCAGUUAUGUUGUUCCCUCUACAACACAGUGGUGUUUUGUCCACCUUUUUCUCAUGUUUGGAGUGAGACAGCCAUGAGCUGAUUUUUGGAGGAUCUUUGCACCAUGGAAGUGAAAAUGUCCUGUGGCAGCAUCUACAGAUCCCACCCUCCCAUGUGCGAAGUGAUUAUGUUAUCCCAAGUCUUCUUUACAGCAGUGGUUCCACCAAUGUACCUUAUCUUUCAUGUCAAAACAGCAUGCUGACACGUUGGCACCCAAUAAAUAAAAAUCAGUGUUCUCAGCAGGAACUGACAAGUUUCAGUCCCAUUGGAACUGUGCCAUAUUCUGAUGCUAUUCCUCUAAGAGCUAAUGAAAUGUGAACCUCGAAGAUUCCAAGAAUUUAUUUGAUCACCUCUCCAUGAUUUAAUAUGACAAGAUCCCCAAAUUUUCCUCCUGUUCCCUCUGAAAUUUGUUGUUCUCACUCCAGUGUGUUUCGCUACCAGUUCCUUCAGGAGCUGUGCUGAAACAGGCGAGAUUUGUCCUUGAGAUUUAGUCAAAUGGAGGUUAAGACAAAUGGUGGUGGGCUUCAGAGGUCAGGUUUCUCUAGAAGGAGCUGUGCUUCAUUUCUACCUUGGCCACUGGGGAUCUGGAUGCACUUGGUCAGGUGGCUACUACCUUUGGGCUUUCUCUGUCAAAAAGGGAUUUUAGCACCAACAUGAGGCUAUUAGGAAAUGAGUUUGAAAAGUAAACAAAAGCCACAAAAGUAGAAGUCCAUAAAAGAGUCAGAAGGUGACUGCCAGAGACAGUCUUUAAAAUUUUAGGGUCUUAAAAUUUUUUCUUAUUUCAAGGUUAGUACAUUGAUUUCUUUCUUGAUGUUGGAGGACAGUGGUAGAUGUACAAUCCUUUUAUAAUAAACUCUAGGGGACGGCACAUUUUCAGAUGGAAAUUAAUGAAUGACCUGGCUGUGAGUCACCUUUAAUCAGGUUAUUUAUAUUCAGAAUGAGAUGAGCAUUAUGGGUGAGGGGACACCAAGGCACCUGCACUUUUUCCUUGUGUCUUGGUCAUUAUUUGUUGACUGUGGCUUUGGAGCAGAAGCCAGGGAGCCCUGGGAGGGAGCCCAUCCUGCCCAGGGAGAGCAGGAAUCAGCUAAAAACAGGUUCAUCCUGGGAAGAUAAAUAGGGAGUAUGGUCAGUGAAGGACAUCAGUCAGCGGCUGAGACCAGGCCUUGCUUUAGUCAAGGCCAUGGGAUUGGGUGAGGACACGAGAAGAAAGCUGACAUUUCUGGGCACCAAAAAAUGGAAAGAGUUUUUAGUUUGGGGCCUGGAAGCUCAGUAAAAGACAGACUAAGGGUCUCUAAGGGUCUCUGGUAAGGAGAAACAUGGCGGGUUAGGAAGGCAUGCCACAUGACCUUGAACUCCAGCUCACGUAUCUCUGAAUUCUGCCUCAACGUCUUCACCGGGGUCACCUUUGUCAUGUUCCUAAGCCUCCUUGUGCCUAAGUUUCAGACUUUGUAAAUGAGGACGGUGAUGAUCAUAAUGGUACCCAACUCACAGAAUUGUUUUAAGGAUUAAAUAAUACAUGCUUAAAAUAGUGCCAGGUGCGCAGUGAGCUCUUACGCAUGGGUAAUAUUGUCAACACUAAAUAAAUAUCAGCUGUCUCUAGGGUUGGGCUGAGGAGGAGAGAAGCAGGAACAAUGCCAGGAGGAAGAGAAAAUGUACCCGUGAGUCUUAGCAGUGGAGGGACAGCAUGGGGUGGCGCGGGGCCCGGGGUGUUCUGAGGAGAGAGGCACAUGGAGAAGUCCCAGUGUUGGGAAUGGGUUCUUCAGGACUUUUAAGGGGUCAUGAGCAAUUCUGUUUUUUUGUUUUUUGGUUUUUGGUUUUUGGUUUUUUUUUGGAAUAAUUCUGUUUUAAAUCAUUUGACAUGAUGUGGCUCCCGUGCCCGUGCCCUCUUCCUACUACCCCACCCCCAACACACACACACUUUACUUCCAAAUGUUAAAUAAAACUCUAAGUAAUA